GGUCUAAUAGUGUAGAGGUUAUCACACGGGAUUUUGAUUGACUUCAUCAUCAUAGCAUAUUUCCCGUAACCCAGGUUCGAGUCCUGGUUAGACCU